rnacentral:rRNA from 1 species
UACGUAGGGGGCAAGCGUUGUCCGGAUUUAUUGGGCGUAAAGAGCGUGUAGGCGGCCACACAGGUCUGCUGUGAAAACUCGAGGCUCAACCUCGAGCUGUCGGUGGAAACCGUGUGGCUAGAGUCCGGAAGAGGAGAGUGGAAUUCCCGGUGUAGCGGUGAAAUGCGCAGAUAUCGGGAAGAACACCCGUGGCGAAGGCGGCUCUCUGGGCCAAAACUGACGCUGAGGAGCGAAAGCGUGGGGAGCGAACAGG